GGGGAUCAGCCUUACGACCAUUGGCAGAGAGAUAGACUAGUUAUAAGCCUUGGUUGUGGUGUGCAAUUUAUUGUUCAUUACGGUCUUGGCGACUGUCUUUCCUCUAAUAAGCUAAUGGCUGUUGGGUGCACUUCCCCUCGUCUUUUGGACGUCGCGACUCGCUGACGACUUGUUCUGGAAGGGACACUGCUUGUCACAAACUGGCAAGCAGUGGCGGCUAGAGAUGUAGCACUAGUGCGCUCUGAGCUGCCUUCCAGAGUCGGCGAGAAGUCAGCUCUCUAGUCUGAAAUCCCGCUGUAGUUGAAGCGAAGGAUAGCUGGGCUUUGUUAGGCUGUGUUGUGCCUUCUGUCUAGUUGUUGAUUUUGUCUCUGCGACUUUGCUUUUUUUUU
rnacentral:rRNA from 1 species